GAUUUUCUAAGGUGUGCGUAUUUUUCCACAAUGUGUUGACCGAUCAAGUAAUUUAAAUACGGGAACGACAAUUUUAACUCAUCAAAGCCAGCCUUUUCACGAGGACGCUAGCAUGGGUAAAUAGCCGAACCCACCUGCUAAUUUGCGGGUUCAAUACAAACGGAAUUGCAACGGCACCACCAGAUUAUCU
rfam:Lactobacillus coryniformis subsp. coryniformis CECT 5711 COR000023, whole genome shotgun sequence.